rnacentral:tRNA from 1 species
CAUAGGGUGGUUUAAUUAAAAUCUUAGCUUUGGGAGCUAAGGAUGGGAGUUAAACUCUCCUCUCUGUGA